rnacentral:lncRNA from 1 species
GGUGGGUGCUCCCCGAGUUUAGAUACUUAAAUAAACCCAAAAUAGUGCUGGUACGAGGAUUAUGUAGAUCUAAACCUCAGUCCCCUUCUGCGCGGUACUGGGAACAGCUCUCCCCGGGGCCUGGAGUAAAGGGAGCCAAAUGUAGCAGACUCCAGGCCGACCCACGGGUCGAGACCCAGUGAGGACUUGGGUAAGUGGUAAACUGAGGCUUCCUUGGCCAGCAAAAGCGGACAACGACAGUGAGGGAAAGCAAAUGGGCGCUCAGAGACAAACUCUGGCCUUGGUUUCCAGGCUCUUGACCACUAGGUCGCCUUCCACGACAGGAAGAUCGGAGGAGGAAAGGGCCCUGCCAACCCUGAUUCAUCCCGGGCAGCCGCAUUACUAUUUCACGGACUCAUCGAAAUCCUGCCAGGGGGUGAGGAGUAACGAAAAAUACUCAUGUGCUGACAGGUUUUUUGUUGUUGCACUAGAAGCAUAUUAGACUGCACAGUGGCUUUUGUAGGUGGCCUGGCCAAAGGAACUAAUUAAGCUGAGUUAAUGUUAACUUAGGGAUUCCCUUGGGCAAAGUACCGGUGAUGGCCAAAGGCCCUUCCCUUACCAUCUUCCAGAAGCAGCCCACUGCCAUGUACUCAGUUCCUACCUUGCAGUCAUUAAUGCUUGUUGUAAAGCCAGAAUAGUUGUUGGGAAGUAUCUUGCCUAUGAAAGUCUUGAUGAUUUUUAAGGAUAGAGCCAUUUGCUACAAUUACAACUGAUUAAUCUUUAGGACAGAUCUAUGCGUCCUGGUAGAAUGAGCUAGAGCUGUUACUGACCUUUAAAAAGUAUUUUGGUCAUCACACGAAGUCUAAGAAAUUCACAACAAUAAAAAUACCCCAUAAUGCAUCCUUAGCCAUGUUGACUUAAUGACAUUGUGUGGUCACUGUUAAGGUAGGUGACAUAAUAAACUGGAAGAACCAUUGUUAAGUCCCAAAGGUAUUUUAUACCUUCACCAUGUUAGGAAAGAACAGUGGAUCAUUAGCUUAAAUCCAUUAAGCAUAUAGGAUGUGAGUGUGGCUUCAGACAGUUCAGAGAACAUAGUCAAAAUUUGGACAUUUUUAGAGAAUCGUGUUUUAUGUAAAAACAUUCAAGAAAAAUAUUGUGGCUUUUCUAGAAGUGCUCCUUUAGACACUACCAAUUAAUGUUAAACUUCAUUUGGAUUAUGUUUGAGAAUGAAAAGCUGAAGAUGUAGUAGCCAAUUUUAAUUAUGUUCAUUACUAAACACACACCAGAUACUAGCAAAAAAAAUGAUAGUUGAUUAGAAUACUUUGUAUUGUUUUCACUGAUAUCUACAUUGUUUGAUGUGGUAGUAAAUGUCAAAUACAUUUAAAUUACUAGUUGUCCAAAUCUGAGGAUUUAUAAAUUUUCUUUUUCAUGCGCUGACAUUAGGAGGAUGUCCUGUCAAAAAUAGAAACACAUGCAGGGUGCAGUGGCAAAUAUGUGUAAUCCCAGCUACACAGGAGGCAAAGGCAGGAGAAUCACAAAUUUGAGGCCAGCCUCAGCAAAUUAGUGAGACCCUUUCUCAAAUUUUACAAAAGGGUUGGGGAUAUAGUUCAUAUGCUAGUGGUAGAGCACCCCUGAUUGAAUCCCU